ACUUUUAAAAUUGAGGUAAAAUUCUAUGUUUGUAAAGUCAGAGGCAUAAACUCUAAAUUCAUGACUAUAAAAAAGGAUUAGAUACCCUUCUAUACUUGAAAAUCAAACUUUAAGUAGUAAAAAGUAUAUUUUUGAAAUUUAAAGGGUUUGGCGGCUUUUAGGAUAACCAGGGGAGUUUGUGUUUUAAUCGACAAUACGCGUUAGACCUUACUUGAUUUGUGCUUGUAUACCGCCGUCUAAACGCUUUUGGCAGAGUAAAGUUACAGUUAUUAAUAUACUAACGUCAGGUCAUGGUGCAGCAUAGUCAAGAUAAUUACAAACUACAAUUUGCAGAUUAUUGGAAUCAAAAUUAAAAUUUUGAUGAAAUUGGACUUGAAAGUAAUUGCUUGUUAGAAUCUAGUAAUGAAUGCAAAACUAAAAGUGUACAUAUCGCCCGUCACUCU
rnacentral:rRNA from 1 species